rnacentral:rRNA from 1 species
ACGGUACCUGAGKSAUCAGCUUCGGUUUACUCCGUGCCAGCAGCCGCGGUAAUACGGAGKAGGCAAGCGUUAUCCGGAAUUAUUGGGCGUAAAGCGUCCGCAWRUKGCUAUUUAAGUCUGCUGUCAAAGNCCGGAGCUCAACUCCGGGUCGGCAGUGGAAACUGGAKAGCUANAGUNCGGUAGGGGUARAGGGAAUUYCCGGUGUAGCGGUGAAAUGCGUAGAGAUYGGGAAGAACACCGGUGGCGAAAGCGCUCGUACUGGCGCCGCCGUGUUGACNCUCACGGACCA